AGCUUCCGCCUGCUACGGUCCUGGCAAGCACCUCGGGAUCCCAUUCCUUCACAGGGACCCUAGCCAGGAGUCUCUGCAUUAGUUGGACAGCUCUUCUGGAAUUAUCUUCUAAGUCAACUGUGGGUUGGGUAGGUGGCUCUGCUGAUUUUUCGCUGGACUUCCACAUUUGGGACGAGUUGGCUGUCAUCAGCUCUAGAAAGGGUGUGGCCGUUUUACAUUGGCUGUUUUCCUCACAUUCCUCAAGCAGGUACUGUAAUAAAGAACUGGAGAAAUACAGUCAGAUGGGAAGUAGCCCUUGCUGUCAAGGAGCUUGCCAUCUAAUGGGGGAGACAGGCAAGUAAACCAAAGACUACACAGUGCAGUAUGGUAAGUGCCAUGAUUUUGAUGUGACAGGGCACAGUGGACGACCUUCCAAAUCAAAGCAAGUAACUAGGGGUUGACAAUGGUAAGUAUCAUAGUUGAAGUAUCCUUGAACAAGGUUUCAGGAAGAAGAAGAAGGGAAUUUCAUGCAGGGAAACAGCCAAAGCUCAGUGAGUCAAAAUAUCACAGCAUUCUUGGUAAGCCCAAUUGUUUUUUCUGUUUUGCUAUUUUGGUGGAGAGAAAGGAACACAUAAAGGAAUAACAUGAGAGAAGGCUAUUUGGGGAAGUGUAGUAGUUAAGGUUCUGGCUCAAACAACAACUGCAGCUCAUAAAGUUGACUUUAGUGGAAGGAUACUGGGGUAUCUCAUGGAAUCUUGGGAACUGUUGAAUAACCAGGGAAACUCUGGGAAACUCACUGGUAGGAAUCCAUAAACUGUCCUCCUGGUGGGCUGUAAACAACUCACCCUCUAUGCAUCUCACAUCAAAAUUCCAGUUUCUUGGGAAAACAAGUCUGUUUGCCCAAUUUGGGUCAUAUUUCCACGUCCAUGUUACUCAGGCAUGAUUCAUCUGCAAGUUAUGUGUAUAGAUAUUUUGCUACUGUUCCACCCUUACGCUGUGCUGGGGAGGGAGGUGUCACUGUGAGCUGUGUCGGUGCCUUAAGAGAUAUCUGUUGUGUCUUAUUACUUGGUUGCUUUUCCCCACAUGUACAAUGACAAAAAUGCCUUCAACCUAUUUGAUCCAGCCGUUCCAGUACAACUCCUAUACUUGCCAUCUUUCCAAGCCCAAAGGUACAUCCAGCUGAUGGAAGGAGCAUCUUGGUGUUAAUAUUCUUUUAGUCAUGGUCUCUGAAAGUAAAAUGUCUAUUCUUCUAAUUCUGGCACAAUCUUAUCUAGCUAUAGUUCCUCAUGGUCCUGCACUCCAUGGACUAAAUUAUGAUGAAACUGAAACACAAAAAAUUUAGAUUAACUCUUAGGUGACAAAGCCAGGAUUGAAGCUCAUGCGGUCUGGCUCCAGAACAACUCUUCUUCAUAGUUACGUUAUACUGCCCCUGCAUUGUUGGUAUUGAAAAAUUUCCUUUCAUCUCUGGUAAAAGUCAGCUCUCUAACUACUGCAUCUCACAGCUGAACAGAUAACUGAUACCGUGCUUCCAGAAGAUUUUUCUAACAGUGUUUGCAAGCUAUAAAAUAGUGCUUUCACUUAGAAAAGGCUAGACGUGGUGGUUCAUGCCUGUAAUCCCAGCACUUUGAGAGGCCGAGGCACCAUGCUGGGAGAUAAGGAUCCAACAUAAGACAAACAGUGCUGAUGCUUUUGGAAAGCUCAUAUUCAAGCUGGGGAGACAAACAACAUACAAAAACUCACUCUGUCACUCAGGCUGGAGUGCAAUGGCACGAUCUCGGCUCACUGCAACCUCUGCCUCCCGAGUUCAGGAGGGCUCUGAGAGAUUUCAUUUCUGUCCUGCUGAUGAAGUCUACGUUCAUUCAGGGCCUGCUGUGGAAGACCAGCCCCAAAGUUGCUGAACAGAAGACUUUUGAGAGUCAGCAGAAAUCUUCCACUUUGCAUGGUUCUCUUGAUGUGAAAUCAUCUAUAUAGCCCCAGAAUUGGAAAAGAAAAAAAAUAAAAAAAUGGAAGGAAACUGGAUUCGACAACAGUCUAAUGCUUUCUACUUUUAUUUACUUUUUCUUUAAAAAAAGUAAAUUCUGUUUAUAGUUACAAACAUCUGAUUUCUCAAUGAAUACUAGAGGAAAAAGGGAACAAAGGAAUCCAUAAUCUUCAAUUUACUUAAGAACUUAAUUAACCAAAUGCAAUGGACUCUAUUUGGGUACUGAUUUGAACAAAUAAACUAUAAAGACAUUUUUGAGACAAUUGGGGAAAUGUGAACAAUGAUUGGGUAUUUGAUGAUAUUAAGGAGUCACUGUCAAUUUUUAGGUGUGAUCAUGGUAUUGUGGUUCUGUUCCAAAAAAUAGCCCUUAUCUUUUAGAGCUAUGUUACAGUUUGGCUCCGUAUCCCCAUCCAGGCUUCAUCUUGAAUUGUAAUUCCUGUAUGUCAAAGGAGCAACCUGGUGGGAGGUGAUUGGGUCAUGGGGAUGGUUUCACCCAUGCUGUUCUCAUGAUAGUGAGUUCUCAUGAGAUCUGAUCGUUUAAAAGUGUGACACUUCCCCUCUUGCUCUCUUGUCUCCCACCACCAUGUAAGACAUGACUUGCUUCCCCUUCUGCCAUAAUCAUAAGAAUUGUAAUUUUCCUGAGGCCUCCCAAGCCAUGUGGAACUGUGAGUCAAUUAAACCUCUUUUCUUUAUAAAUUACCCUGCAACUGUCACCAUUCUCCAGACCCCAGAAUGGUAGAUCCAGCGACAGCCCUUGCACCUUCACCUGGAAAAGCCUCAGGCACUCACACCAGCCCUAAGACUGUGUAAUUUAUAAGGAAAAGAGGUUUAAUUGACUCACAGUUUUUAUAGCACUGUGAAAAUGGACUAAUAACAGAAAACUGGUAUCAGAAUAGUGGGGUACUACUAUAAAGAUAACCUGAAAAUGUGGAAGUGACUUUGGAACUGGGUAAUGGGCAGAGGUUAGAACAGUUUGGAGGAAUCAGAAGACAGGAAGAUGUGAGAAAGUUUGGAACUUCCUACAGACUUGUCAAAUGGUUUUGACUAAAAUGCUGAUAGUGAUAUGGACAAUGAAGUGCAAGCUCAGGUGGUCUCAGAUGGAGAUGAGAAACUUAUUGGAAACUAGAGUAUCUUGUAUGUUUUAGCAAAGAGACCAGUGGCAUUUUGCCCCCACCCCAGAGAUCUGUGGAACUUUGAAGUUGAGAGAGAUGAUUUAGGGUCUCUGAGAGAAGAAAUUUUUAAGGAUUCAAGAGGUGAUCUGGCUUUUGUGAAAGUGUACAGUCAUAUGCAUUCACAAAGAGAUGAUCUGAAAUUGGAACUUAUGUUUAAAAGGGAAGCAGAGCAUAAAAGUUAAAAAAAAAUUGCAGCUUGGCCAUGUGGUAGAAAAGAAAAACCCAUUUUAUGGGGAGAAAUUCAAGCUCGCUGCAGAAAUCUUCUUAAGUAAUGAGGAGCUAAAUAUUGCCAAGACAAUGGGGAAAAUGACUCCAGGCCAUUUCAGAGAUCUUCAAGGAAGCCUCUCCCAUCACAAGCCUGGAUAUCUAGGAGGAAAAAAUGGUUUUGUGGGCCAGGCUCAGAGCCCCACUGCUCUGUGCAGCCUCAAGACGGGGUGACCUGUAUUGCUGUUGCUUCAGCUCCACCCAUGGCUAAAAGGGGUCAAGGUACAGCUCAGACCAUUGCUUCAGAGGGUGCAAGCCCCACACCUUGGCAGCUUCCAUGUGGUGUUAAGUCUGCAGGUGCACAGAAGACAAGAGUUGAGCUUUGGGAGGCUCUGCCUAGAUUUCAGAGGAUGUGUGGAAAUGCCUGGAAGUCCAAGCAGAAGUCUGCUGUGGAGGUGGAGCCCUCAUGGAGAACCUCUACUAAGGCAGUACAGAGGAGAAAUGUGAGGUUGGAGCCCCCACACAGAGUCCCCACCGGGGCACUGGGUAGUGGAGCUGUAAGAAGAGGGCCACCAUUCUCUAGACCCCAGAAUGGUAGAUCCACCAACAGCUUGCACCGUGCACUUGGAAAAGCCCCAGGCACUCAACGCCAGCCCAUGAAAACAGCCACAGGGGCUGUACCCUGCAGAACCACAGGGGUGGAGCUGCCCAGAACUUUGGGAGUCCACCCCUUGCAUCAGUGUAGCUUGGAUGUGAGACAUGGAGUCAAAGGAGAUUAUUUUGGAGCUUUAACAUUUAAUGACUGCUCCACUGGGUUUCAGAUUUGCAUGGGCCUUGCAGCCUCUUUGUUUUGGCAAAUUUUUCCCAUUUGGAAGGGGAGCAUUUACCCAAUGCCUGUACCCCCAUUGUAUCUUGGAAGUAACUAACUUGUUUUUUAUUUUAUAGGCUCAUAGAUGGAAGGCUUGUCUCAGAUAAGACUUUGGACUUGGACUUUUGGGUUAAUGCUGGAAUGAGUUAAGACUUUGGGGUUCUGUUGGGAAGGCAUGAUUGUGUUUUGAAAUGUGAGAAGGACAAGAGAUCUGGGAGGGGCCAGGGUUGGAAUGAUAUGGCUUGGCUCUGUGUCCCCACCCGAAUCUCAUCUCAAAUUGUAAUCCUCACAUGUGGAGGAAGGUACCUGGUGGGAGCUGAUUGGAUCAUGGGGGUGGUUCCCCCAAGCUGUUCUCAUGAUAGUAAGUUCAUUCUCAUGAGAUCUGAUGGUUUAAAAGUGUGGCAUUUACACACUCUUUCUCUCCUGCUGCCAUGUAAGACAUGCCUUGCUUUCCCUUAACCUUCUGCCAUGAUUGUAAGUUUCCCGAGGUGUCCCCAGCCAUGUGAAACUGUGAGUUAAUUAAAGCUCUUUUCUUUAUAAAUUACCCAAUCUCAGGUAUUUCUUUAUAGCAGUGUGAAAAUGGACUAAUGGACUAAUGGAAAAUGGACUAAUACAAGAUACUUAUUGAAUAUAGAAUAAUUAUGUCUACAUAAUUAUUUACAGAUGAAAUAAUUAUGUCUAAAAUUUGCUUCAAAUAAUAUGUGAAUAUGGGGGAUGGGUUGGGAAUGGGUUUAACA
rnacentral:lncRNA from 1 species